GAUGAACGCUAGCGGCAGGCUUAAUACAUGCAAGUCGAGGGGCAGCGGGAAUAGCAAUAUUUGCCGGCGACCGGCGCACGGGUGCGUAACACGUAUACAAUCUGCCUCUUACUGGAGGAUAGCCCGGAGAAAUUCGGAUUAAUACUCCAUAACAGCUGAAUAGGCAUCUAUUUGGCUUGAAAGCUCCGGCGGUAAGAGAUGAGUAUGCGACUGAUUAGCUUGUUGGUGUGGUAACGGCUCACCAAGGCUACGAUCAGUAGGGGAUCUGAGAGGACUAACCCCCACACUGGUACUGAGACACGGACCAGACUCCUACGGGNGGCAGCAGUAAGGAAUAUUGGACAAUGCCCGC
rnacentral:rRNA from 1 species